CUUGAUCGAGCCCAGCCACAGCGGCUUUCCGUCCGGCCGGCCCUGCCCGUAGGUGGCGAGCAGUGCCUGAGCCUC
rnacentral:antisense_RNA from 1 species